rnacentral:misc_RNA from 1 species
GGUGGAGGUGAAGUGCGACAAUAGGCCUGUGCAGUUGCUAAAUACCAACAUUUCCAUGCAUCAACACUACAAUACCUCUUUCGUGCACACCUAGAACUUAGGCCAAGGCUCCAAGACUGACUUGCACCUUCAAUAACUAUAGGGACAUAUAAGAUGCAAAAGCAGAGUAGCUAUUGAGAAACAGAAAUAGCAUGACCAAUUGCAAUGAGUGCUUUCUACAGUAAAUAAGCUUGACAACAAUUAAGUUU